GAAAGGACUUCAAUUUGAUACCAUUUGGGGAAGGUCGCAGGAUCUGCCCAGGGAAGAACCUCGGGAUCAAAACGGUUGAGAUCAUGCUCGCCAACCUUCUUUACUGCUUCGACUGGGAACUUCCAACGGGCACGACAAAGGAGGAUAUCAACAUGGAUGAGGCGCCAGGCCUUGCUGUGCACAAAAGAGAUGCUCUCCGCCUUCUCGCCACUAGACAUAUAUAGCGGCAUCAACAGCUAAAAUAUAUACACAUAUGUAUAGAUGGAUCUAGUGCACUGCUACUAUACUAUAAUAAAUAUUUACUAUACUAUAAUAAAUAUUUACUAUAAUAAAUAUUUACACAUAUAUAUAGAUGGAUCUAGUGAAAAUAAUAUAUACAAUAAAUAUUUUAGCUCUUGGAUGUUUAGAGUUGACAAUUUGGAAAUUCUAUUUGUAUGGAUCUAAGAGCCAAAAGAUCUGUAAUAAUUACUAUUCCUCUAUUAUCUAUAAUAUAGUAGCUUAAACUGAGUGUGUGUGUAUAUAUAUGUAUAAUGCGUCUCACUGAGAUGCACUCUUAUUCGCUUACCAUUAUACAUCUAUAUAUCUAUCAUUUUUCUAUCUACCUAUAUCACAUACUUUCUUAUCUUACUAGCUAUCUUAUGUGUACAAUAUGCAAAUCAUAGGCAUAUAGAAGCUUGAUCACAAAAGUGUUUAAGAAAAAUCUGAAAGCCAACUUGGCCUGACCUACAUUUCCCUUUCAUCUAGGAAGUUUUUUAUUACUAUGUUAAUUUGAUGAAGGAUUCAUUCAUCUAAAUAGGAUUUAAACUGUUUGGAGCAUUUAAUAUAAGAUUCAUCUAGAAUUUACUGGCUCAAAUAAAAAAAACCAGUUCAAUGGUUUCUCAAGUACCGCUAGGGGUGUAAUAUGGGCCGUGCCGGGCCCAAGCUAUCAAGCCUCCAGCCCGGUAUGGCCCUUUGGCCCGGAAGGCACGGGCCAUGCCGGGCCAGCCCGGUAUGGCCCUUUGGCCCGGAAGGCACGGGCUAGUGUUUGGGUUUUGGAUUUUUAGUGGGUACUGGUGUGGAUAUGAUUUUCUAAAAUUAAUCGAAUUUGGGUUUGGGUUCUGAUUUCGGGUUUGACAGUCGAUUUCAGGUUCGAGUUUUUGAAAAUCCGCCUCGAAUCCUAUCCUUUUACAUCUCUACUGUGGAUAAAAAAAAAAAGAUAGAGAAAGCAAAAGCAAACACAGAAUAGAGAUUAGAUAGUAUAGUGAAAAUAAAAUUACUAAAUUACCCAUUCUUUAAAGGACUAAAAUGCCUUUUUUUGGGUACCUGGAAAGUGGUAACCGGUACCCCUUUUAAAGUGACCUGUUAUUGCAAAUCAUAAUUUUUAAAAAAUUAAAUCUGAGCCGUUGAAUUGAAAUAAAUAAACGGUAUAAAAAAAUAAUAAGUAUAGAAUCACUAUUCAUAAACUACAGUUUGAAACUGCCAGAGAAAUUCAAUAAUUACAAUAGAAAAAAUUUUACCUAAAUUAACUACAAUUUUAGCUACAAUAGUUGUAAAGAAUAAUCUUAAAUAAAAGGCAAACUAAUCUAUCUAAUCAUUUAACCUUUUCUUCAACAAUGGAUAUAAUCUCAUAGCUCCAUGCAUGUAUAACGGGAUACAAUUCGUUAAUACAAUUUUUAGUUAUGCGCGACCAUAUAUAUUUAUUGCAUUUUUUACUAUAUUCAACCAAUUUUAAUACAAAUAAUUGGAGCUGUUAUAUUUUUAUUCUCCAAAAUCAAAAGGUUGCGGAGAACAAUAAUCUUCGGCCUCGUUUGAUAUUUUUACUGUUCUCAAACUUUUUUUGGUUUCAAAUGCAAAUUAUAAUUUAUGUAUGAUUGGAUGAUGCUGGGAGGGACUUAAUUAUGUUUGUAGUUGCUAUUAGCUUGUAAGGCAUCUUGAAAACAUCUUCUCAAGAAUGGAUUUAAUUAUGUUUGCAGUUGCUACUUCGCCUGUAACUCAUAUUGAAAACAUCUUUUCAAGAAAUACAAAGAAGUGGGAAAAUUUUUUUUUGUACUUUGGUCGAAGAAAUCCUUGGACGGUCAAGUGCAAACAAUUAAUGUGAGUCCAUCAGAUUUAUGUUUAAGAAAUAGAAGAUAAUAACAAUACAAAAUGUGGCCCUAAUUUAAUAUUCUCGUGUCCCCUUCUAUCACGGUUCUGAGAUAUAAACGACAAUUUGGCAUGGACGGGUGGAGAAAGAGUCAAAACAAAAAAUAUAUAGAAAAAAGAUCAUUAUGUUUUAAGUCAAUUAAAUAUCUUCUUUUGAAAGAAAAUUACAAUACAAAAAAAAUAGUUGGGAAGCGUGGUUACCUAUUAUGUAGCAAUUGUACUUUAUCACCUAUAUUUCAAGCCGAACAAAAUUUUUAUUUAGAAAGAAAAGUAUAAUAAAAUUAUUUUUAAAAAAAAGUCUGAUAAAAUGGGUGAAUUUUAGAAGCACAAUUAAAUUGACUUGGGUCAUGUUGCAGUGCUGUUGUCGUAUCCUAGACUUGUGUGUUCCUGAAAUGUCACACUGCAUUUUUUUAUGGGACACGCAGACACGGACUGAGAACCUUAACAAAAUCACAGCGGAUUAUGAGAUUAGCAUUGCCUCCUGAGCAUUUACGUAUCUAGUUGGAAUUCAGCGAUAAUAACAGCAAAAUUGCUAUUUACGUUGGACUUAAUUUUUGCCAAACAUCUCAUAUGAUAAUUGCAUAAAAACAAAAAAACACAUGGCAUAUGAUGACACCUCAUGCACAGCACUGGUAGGAAAGUCCAAUUUUGAGAUAUUAAGAUUUCACCCUAUACCGACUGUCUCUAGAGCAAGUGGUGAAAAAUUUAAUGAUUGGUAUUCUGGGUCUCAAAUUUGAAUUCUAAUUUAUUCAUAUUUCUAACUAAAAAAAAAAAAAAAAAAGAGAUUUCACCCUGUGCGCCGAUUUCAACUCAUUAAUACUUAACUUGUCCAUAACUUCUUUAAGCAUAACAAAAACACAAAAAAUUUCAGCCUUCUGAUAUGGUCACCAUUUUUUUUAAUGCUAAUUCUAUAUAAUUUAAUAUACUGACAGAAUGACUGAUUAUUUUAUAAUAAUUUUUGGCCGGCAAUCAAUGAAAACUCAAUUUUACAAAAUUUGAAAAUAAGAAAAAAUACUUCUAUUUUUUCUUAUUUUGGGUUACCAAACAACUAUAUUGGAUGUAAAAAUUAUAAGCAAUUUAUCAUUUUCUCUCACACUAAUUUAUGUAGAAAAUUUAAUUUUUUUUAAAUACAGCUACCAUAAAUCAAAUCAUAUAGCUUUUGUGAUAAGCACAAAGAAACGGUGUGCAACAUCAAAGUUAAGGCUUCGUUUGGAUUGCGGGGAGAUAGUGUUACGUGCGGCGAGAAAGUACGAUGGAUAAAUAUUCUGUUUGUUUUAGUACGUAAUAUUGCGUUACGCAUAUCGCGAUGAGUCGGUUACGAUAUAUUUUCCGCAGUUCCACCGGAGAACGCAGAAACAUAUUCCUAAAUGUUUUUUUCUCAACUCUAUUUUAUCUAAUAACAUUUGAUAUGACUCAAUACCAAACUAAACCUAAGAAACUCACGGUCUACCGUGGUUUGUUAAUUUUACGUUUAUCCAAAAGUCCUAACUUUUCAUUCUUAAAAUUUAAAUUUUUUAAAUUUAAUAUAUAAAAAUUUGUAAUAAAGUCAUGAAUGAAAGUAAAAUCAAUAUAUGACAGCGGAGCGGACUGAGAGCCGUUCAACAAUACGACGUUGUUCGGGAGCUACGUACCCACUUAAACUUUGUUCGGUGGCACCUACUGGAUUUUUUUAUGUACUUAGGGGUCGCGCAUGCAUGAGAUUUUUAUCUACUUAGGUGUCCGCCACAACAUUUCUUUAAAUUGCAUCUGCCGAGAUACUUUGGCCUUCAAACUUAUUAAUCUACUGUCUUAUUCAAAAUUAUUGAUGUAUGCCUUCAAACUCGAACUCGAAUGAAACAGAUAUAUUCGAUACUAAAUGAAUAUAGAUUCGAAUAUAGAUAUAAAAAAUAAAAAUUCGACAGAUAUUGAUUCAGAUAUAAAUUUUGACGGUAUCCGACCCGAACACGAAUCCAAAUUUUUUUGUAUUAUAUAUAAUAUAUUAUAUAAAUAUUUGAUGUUAUAUUUAAAUUUGUAUUUUAAAAAUUUAGAUUUAAUAUAAUAUAUUUUGAAAAUUUAAAAAAAAAUAAUUGUUUCGGGUUCAAAUUUUUGAGUUCGGAUUCGGAUUCGGAUUUUGAAUUUUUAGUCGGAUUCGGAUUCGGAUUUGAGUUUCGGGUUUGGAGUCGGGUACGGAUUCGAAUUUUUAAAAAUUCGCUCCGAAUCCAACCUGUUGACAUCUGUACUCACCGGUUAAGGACAACUCUCAUAUCACUUCCACCUUCACUCCGGUUCUCCUCGAUAAAUAAAUAAUAUAAAAUAAGAGAAAUACUACAUGCACCUCCAAAUACAUAUAAAAAUAUUAUUAAAUAAUAAAAUUUGCAUAUUUGGUAAUCAUGUACUUUUAUUUCAAAAAAUUGAAAAUAAAUAAGGCACGUCAUCAAUUUUAAAACCUAAACCAUUCACCAACUCUGAUAUAUAUAUAUAUACAAAUCUUAUUUACAAAAAAACAUAAAUAUGUCCAUACAAGGAGGCAAUUGUCUUAUUUGGAACUGCAGAGUACUGCUGCGUUGUUUUGUAAUUGUGGUUUCAAUUGCGCCAGCAAUGGUAGUAUACAUUAAAAUCUAGGGAAAUCUACCUAAUAGCUUCUUUUUUUAGGAGAAUUAGAAGUUUCGAAUCAAAAGUUUUCCUAUAAAUCUGAUUUCAGCUGUGCUGCAGCAGUUUAUUGAUAACGUUUUGGCAGAGGUUAAAAUAUGGCAUGGAUCGUAUAUAUUACGAGUGCCGCUCCGGAGUCUGGCUAUCUUGCGUUGAUGUCGUAGUAAUUUGGUUGGGAAUUUUGCUCUCCACUGGCUGUCCUCGAGGUGGUGUACGGUGUAGUUUCGACAGACGGGACGGACGUGUCGUAGUCCCUAUGGAUUGGAUCAAUGUGAUGCAUGUUUCUAUCUAUAGAUAGCCUAUAUUGAUUAGUGAUAGUAUAGCGACAUGUAGCUGUAGAGUUUUUUCUAAUUUUUCUUACUAUCCUUUGUAUAUAGUUCUGUAGACUUAGUGGGUGAGUCGUUGAGGUCAGUGACGGUACCCACUCAGGACUACUCUGUUUUGCAGUAGUUCUCACUCCCAGUUGUUGACACAUUUUGCAGAGCCUUCGUCUGCAGCGGCUGCUAUUGUUGAUUCUGACCGUUGUAAGCGAGUCGCGAGUUAGAUCCCCACCAGCCCUGUUGCCGUGCUAGAAGAGCACCCAUUAGAGAUAGUUUUGUGGUUUUUAUACAUAAGGUUAUGUUGUUGUUGUACUCGCUAGAGCGAGUUGCUUAGUGGACUUUUGUAUGUACAGUGCCUCUUUAUAUUUUAUAUAUACGUGUUUUAAUUCUUGCAGCUUGAUACACUUGGUUGUGACUAUGAAUUAUUUACAGGUACAGCUAUCACUUCGUGUACAUGAAAAAUUUCUAUAUAUACGGCUGGUCUGUUGGCGUGCCCGAAAAAACGUGAUAAUUCGGAACGUAACAUUAAAUUUGAGUUAUUAAUGAUAUUUUCACUUUAAAAUUUGAAUGUAUCAUUUAGUUUUAUAAAUUUAAUUAAUAUACUUUAUAUAAUUCUCGCAACUAAAUUUAUUAAAAUAAAUAUUAAUUAAACUCCAUUAAUCUUUUUUUUAUUUUUUAUUAUACAAUCUAUACCUAAAUGAUUAAUAUUAUAAAAUCAAAAUAUAUGUUUAAUACAUGUAAUUUAAACUAUUUAAAAAUUAUUUAUAAAAAAUUAUAUAUUUUUAAUUUUUAUAAUAACAGAGAAUAAAAAUUGUUAUUUUACUUCAACAAUAGUUGCCCGCCGCAACGCGCAGGUAUCUGCACUAAUUAUUAUUAAAAUAAUUUAAAAAUUAUUUAUAAAAAAUUAUAUAUUUUUAAUUUUUAUAAUAACAGAGAAGAAAAGUAGAUUGGAUUAAAAAAAAAAUCUUAAUUACCUCAAGUCAGUCCAAAUCAAUAGAAAGAGAAAACCAUUAAAAUAAAAAAAAAUGGUAGGGUCAGCAUCCACCCAACCCCGCCGCCUUCCCUCUUCUCCCAUCCUCCACGUGGACUAAAACCACUGAGGAUUGAGGAUUCAUAAUAUGUACUAGUGCGCACGUUUCUAUAGAAAUAAAUAAAAUUAAAAAAUAAAAAAUAGCAGUUGUUACAGAAAAAUAUAAGAAUAAAAAUAUAAAAAAAAUUAAAAAAGAAUAAAAAAAUUAUAAGAAUAAUAAAUUUUAUUUAUAACAACAGUGGUUCGAGUGUGAAAUUACAGCUCAUAAAAGCUUGAGAAUUAAAGCUUCACGCGCCUCAUACUUUGAGCAAAAAAAUAUUAUCUAUUAAAAUUCGAAAACUAAAGUGUCAUAUGUGUUAUAGUUUGAGAAUCAAAAGUGUAAUUUAUCUUUUUUUAUAUUUUAAAUUAAGAAAAGAUAUAAUUGAACUUUAUUUGAGGAGAGAAUAUGUUAAACUAUGUAAUAAAUUUUGGAAUGUUUAAUUGUUAAAAUUAAAAGUCGACAAAUCAUAUUUUGAAUAUUUUAAAAUAUUUUAAAUGUGAAAUUAUUUGUUCAUCAGAUUAUAAAUAUGAUAGUGAAGUUUAAUAUUAAAAUUAAAAUAACAUACAGAAUUUUUCUAAACUACGAAUGAUUUUGAAUCAGCUAUCCAAUCUUUCAAAAUUUUAUUUUUACAAUCUGACUAUUUUAUAUGUUAGAUUUGAGUCAGUUAAUGAUGCAUUGACUUUAAAAUUUGAAUGUACCGUUUAGUUUUCCAAAUUUAAUUAGUACUUCAAGUAAUUUUCGCAACUAAAUUUAUUAAAUAAGCAGUUAACUUAAACUUCAUCCAUCGCUUUUUUAUUUUUUAUUAUACAAUUUAUAUCUAAGUGAUCGAUAUUAUAAAAUUAAAAUUUAUAUUUAAUAUAUAUAAUCUAAACUAUUUAAAAGUACGCAUAUAUUUUAAAUUUUUAUAAUAAAAAAAUAUUAAUUUUUUAAAAAAAUUUGCUUUUCAAAAUAAUAGAAAAAUUAAAAUUAAAAAUUAAAAAUUUUAAAAAUAUAUAAAAGGGGUGGUCCCCAGCCCGCUUGGCCCACGCGCACUUUGGCCCCCCGCCAUCUUCUUCCACUCCCUGCCAGCACCCCAAGCUUCCCAGCGCGUGCCUACUCUUCUCCACCUUCCACCGAACUCCGCGUGGACUUCUUCUUCCCCACGCAGCGUAGUCCCCGGCGGCGCCCGCACACACGCGCGCGCGCCACCCUGCGCCCCCCGCUGCGCUCGCACCCCGCCGCGCCGUCAGCGCUUCGCCGCCAUUUAUUAUCAAAACUGAGGAUUUCAAUAUAAUAUAAAGACUAUAGAUAGCUGUACAUAAUAUCAUAUAUAUAAUAUAUAAAAUUAUUAAUCAAAUUAGUAUUAAAAAAAGAGUAUUAUUAUAAGAUGAACAAAAUUAUAUCGACGAAUAAAAAUAGAACAUAGAAAAUGAUAGAUGAAUAGAUUAAAUGAAGAAUAGCAUAUAAAAUGAAGAAUGAUUAGUAGAUAUGAUGAGGAAAUAAGCAUGAAGAAUUGAUUUAAAACUAUAAGAAAAGGGAUGAUAAAUUAUAGAAAAAUAAUUAAUAUGUUAUAAAAAUAAAAAUAUAAACAUAUUCAUAAUAAAAUGGGUAAGUGAAUAGAGGGGAAGAGAAUUAAUCGAGUAUAAGAUGAGUAUUAAAUUAAUAAAGUAAGAAAAGAAAAAAAAGAAAAUAGUAUAUUUGAUAAAAGGAGUAUAUAAUAUUAAAGAUAUAGGAAGAUUGAUAGUGAAUAAAGAUUUUGAAUGGGAUAUAAUGAAAGUAAAAAGAAUGCCAAGGUAUAAGUAAUUUAAAGUGUUAUAAAAUUAUAAUUUAUAUAAUAAUAAUCAUGGGAUUAGUAAAUAAUUGAAUAAUGUUAUUAUAAAGUGAGAGUUAAAAUUGAAAAUGAUAUUUAUUUAAAUAAAUUAUAAUAUAAUAUAAAAUAUUUAAUUUUUUAAUAAUAUAUAUUAUAUUAUAUAUAUAUAUAUAUUAUAUACAGCGACUUCUAAUUUAGGACCAUUUUUUAUUGUAAUCAUAUAACAUGCCAAUCUAAGACAAAUUUUCACACGUCAUUUCACACUCUUUUUUUUCUAAUACUAAUUUAGAGAAAGAUAGUAUGCUAAUCGCUUCGUAUAUUUUUUUAAAAAUAAAUUUAUCUGAAAAUAUAAAUCAAGUUUUUUUGCAUUUAGAUUCCUGACAAAUUUAUAUUUUAAAAUAGCUCUAUCAAAAUUUAAUUUACAAAAAUGAUCCUGAGCCUGCCACGCAGGCGCCACAUCAGCGCACACGGGCAAGGUUGGGCCCUUGUGUUAAGUUGAACACGGUAAACCAUUCACCGUGUUCAAACACGGUGAAUGGGUUCACCGUAUUUAGUACUAUUUUUUGUUGUACGUAUUUUUUGUAUAUUGAAAAGUGGAAUAAGGAGUAAGGAUGUCAAUAGAUAUGGAUAUCCGAAAUAUUAUCCGAAUUCAAACCGAAAUAAAUUAUAUAUAUAUAUAUAUAUAAUAUAUAUAUAUAUAUAUAUAUGUAAUUUAUUUUUGUUUAUUUAUACAAUAUAUAAAAUAUUUAAUAAUUUUUAUUCCUUAGAUCUUCAUCCAACCUGUUUUAAAAAUAUAUACCGUUGAAUGAAAAUCUAAGGAAUAAAAAUUAUUAAAUAUUUUAUAUAUUGUAUAAAUAAAUAAAAAUAAAUUACAUAUAUAUAUAUAAUUUAUUCGGGUUUUGAUUGGAUAAUAUUUCGAAUAUCCAUUCCUAUUGACAUCCCUACUCCUUAUUCCACUUUUCAAUAUCCAUUCCACUUUUCACCGUGUUCAACUUAAUACUCUGGCCCCAGCCCCACCCGCGUGGCGCUGACGUGGCGCAUGCAUAGCAGAGAUAGGACCAUUUUUGUAAUUUUAAUUUUGAUAGGGCUAUUUUUAAAAUAAAAAUUGCUCAAAAGGCUAUUUGCAAAAAAAAACCCUAUAAAUCAAUCAGAAUUUAAAUUUGAAACCUCGGUAUCAAUCACUAAGUCUUUUGUCCUUUACGCCAGGAUGGUCAACAUCCAAAAAAUAAUUAUUUAAUCUUUAGAAAAAUUUUAAUUCUCAGAUGAAAAUCGUAAUUCUAACAAGUUAUGACUCUUUUUGGAUUGCAAACUUAGCAAUACUUCUCAUUAUAUAUAUGCAUAGCAUGCAUGAACUCCUUAUAAUUCAUACCAAAAGCAUCCCAAAGUUUCUAUGGCUCUUCUUCACAUGAUUGCCUCCCUGCCUUUUGUUGUUCUCCUACUACUCCCUCUUCUACUCCUCACAAGAAGAAAGGAGGGCAGCACAUCACUAAAACUUCCCCCGGUCCCUCCCAAGCUCCCAGUAAUCGGCAACCUCCACCAGCUUGGAAGACUGCCCCAUCACUCCCUCUCUCGGCUCUCGCAACGAUACGGCCCCCUCAUGUACCUAAAACUUGGCCAUGAGCCGACCGUCGUGGUCUCCUCUGCCAACAUGGCCCAGGAGAUCCUAAAGACGCAUGAUCUAGAAUGCUGCAGCCGACCGCCCCGCACCUCACAUACAAAGCUCUCCUACGGUUGCUCGGACAUCGCCUUUGCGGUGUACGGCGGGCCAUGGAGGGAGCUCCGAAGAAUUUCCAUCAUCGAACUUUUCAGCGCCAAGAAGAUCGCCUCGUUUCAAUCCAUUAGAGAAGAAGAGGUGGAAAGAACUAUGAGCUCGAUAUCCUCUUAUUCAAGCAGUUCUCUCCCUGUCGAUUUGAGCAAAGAACUGAUCGCGCUCACGAGCACAAUCACUUGUAGAAUGGCUUUCGGAAGGAGCUACCAUGAUGUUGGAAGCAGAUUUCAGAUGAUUCUGAAUGAAGCACAGGCCGUGCUCGGGGGCUUUUUCAUCGCGGACUACUUGCCGAUCAUCGGAUGGGCCGAUUGGCUCACAGGGAUGAGAGCGAGACUCGAGAAGAACUUUAUCGAUCUUGAUCGGUUUUACCAACAAGUUCUCGAUGAGCAUCUUGAUAGAGCGCAGCAGCAGCAGCGUGACUCUAGCGAAGACCUUGUGGAUAUUCUACUGCGCAUGCAGAAGGAUGAGAAAAGCUUGACCACAGACCAGAUCAAAGGAGCCCUUAUGGUAAGAAAUAUCCAAUACUGAAUCACAAAAAACAUUCUUCUAUAUUAUUCGACACAAGUUUACCCUUUUUUGCAGAAUGUUUUCAUUGGUGGGAGCGAUACAUCCUCAGCCACCACGGGAUGGGCGAUGACGGAGCUAAUGAGGCAUCCACAAGCGAUGGAAAAAGCUCAAGAAGAAGUAAGAAGCCUCGUCGGGAGCAAAGGAAAGGUAGAGGAGAGCGACAUCGACCAACUACACUACCUCAAGUGCGUUGUGAAGGAGACCAUGCGAUUGCACCCGGUGGUUCCGAUGCUUAUUCCAAGAACAACGUUGCAGCAUUUCAAAAUCAACGGCUAUGAUGUCCCGCCCAACACAACGAUACUCAUCAAUGCUUGGGCGAUUGGAAGGGACGGGAGUUACUGGGAAUCGCCGGAGGUGUUCAAGCCGGAGAGGUGAAGAGGUGGUGGGAUCUAUCGACUUUCUUAGAGAGAGAGAGAGAAAUAUAUAUAUUAUAUAUCCCAAUUAAAAUAUGUUCAAAGAUGUUUAUAUUAUUUACAGUUUAUAUAUAAGGAUGUUUUAAAUUAAAAGUAUACAACAGGAAUGUUUUCAGGACUAUAAAAAUUUAUACAGGGGCAGUAAUUUUAAGUAAUUUCUUUAAAUCAAUUAUUAUCUAAUUUAUAAAUUGGGAGUAAUCAAAAAUUGUAAAAAUAAGUAAAAUAUAAUAUGACAAUACAAAAAAGCUUCCUAUAUAAACACUACCAUUUUAACUUUUUUAUUUAUUAAGAGAUUGUUAUUGUUUAAACCCUCUGUAUAAAUUUUUAUAAUACUAAAAAUAUUAUUAUAUAUAUAUAAAACAUUCUCAUAUAAAUAAUAAGUAAUAUAAACGUUCUUAUACAUGCUAUAAUUGAGAUUAUAUAUAUAUGUUCUCUCUCCUACACACUCACCAGGUCGCACCCGGUGCGUAGUGUAUUCGAGGUCCUGGUACGUGUUACGGUAUUUGGGCACUUGAUGAACAAAAGCAAAAAGCGGCUCUAUUUCUACCUUUUUCUUUUCGCGAAAAAAAAAAAAUAGGAGUUUAGACCUUUCAUUAAAGAAAGCAUUUUUUAAUUAAAUGCGGUUUAGUUUAUGAUCUUUUUGAUAAAAGUCCAGCCUUUAAAAAAAUCAUUGUAAAUGCACUUUAAUUUUUGUGAGAAUCACCAUGAAUUUCUCCUAGUAACUUGACCAGGAAAAAUAAACUCCAUCAUUUGGUGGUAUAGGAUCUACUUACGUACGGAUUUUUGUUACCGGAAUGCAAAGAUUAUAGGGUUCGUCAAAUAUAGUAUAAAUUAACUUACUUAAAGUAAACUAAUUACAUCAUUAUAAAUUGUCCUUCAUAGUUGUCGAUUUAUGAAAGACCUAUUUUUUUUUAACGAGAUCGUCCACGCACCCAGUCCGGUCCAGCCAAAGGUCUAUAAAAAGGCGUUGUUUAACAGAAUUUUAUUAAUUCAUUUUACACGCUUAGAUUGAAUAUGACUCACAAGAAUUAAGAACUAUCUAAUUAAAAACAUGCAACCUCAUCAUCACUCUAGCUCGAACAUAUAUGUUUACUAACCGUAUAAUAUGAGUAUUAAUUCUAUCGGUCACUCUAUCUAUUGACUAUAUCCGUCUAUGUAGCUCUCUUACUAUCUAUCUAGCUUGUCUCCUCCAUCUAUCCUCGCGUAGAGUGAUCGAUUCUGCGCAAGACAUUUUAAUCGACAUCUGCGACGAUAUAAAUCACCGUUCUUCGGCUUCCCGUACAGAAAACACGUGCCAUUGCGGGCCACGGAGUAGGUACAGCUACAGGAGGAAGCAGCAUGGGCAGCCUUCAAGGGUCAGCUUCCUCAUUUCUUCCAACCGCUCGUACUAGAGCUGGCAAAAAUAGGGCUCCAAGAAGGGGCCUGUCUAGGACGCUGGAAGUGGUUUACCAUAGUAUAACUUCAGGAAGGGACGCUUGAGCUCUAGGCGCGAUAAGUACUNUUUUAGAAAAAUCUGAAAGCCAACUUGGCCUAACCUACAUUUCCCUUUCAUCUAGGAAGUAUUUUAUUUCUAUGUUAAUUUGAUAAAAGAUUCAUUCAACUAAAUAAGAUUUAAACUGUUUGGAGCAUUUAAUAUAAGACUCAUCUAGGAUUUACUGGCUCAAAUAAAAAAUCCAGUUCAAUGGUUUCUCAAGUACCGCUAGGUAGGGGUGUAAACGAACAGAACAUGAGCGAGUCGUGUUGUGUUCGGCUCGUUUAAUAAACGAGCCAAACAUGAGCUGGCUCGCGUUAAAGUAUCGAGCGAAAAAAUUCAGCUCGUGUUCAGCUCGUUAAUAAACGAGCCGAACACAAGCUGGCUCAUGAGCUGGCUAACGAAUAAUAAGUUAAAAAGAAUUAAAUUGAAUAUAUAUAAAAAAAUAAAUUUAUAAAAUCUUAUCCAUUAAAUUUUGAUCUAAUAGUUGAAACUUUAUAUAUAAAUGAAUUUUUUUAUAAUUGAGCUCGUCUUUAUAUUUUUAAUUUGCUAAAAAUUAAAUAAUAAAAAUAUAUAUUAUAUAUAUAAUUAUUUAUUUAUAUAUAAAAAUAUAAAUUAAAUAAAUUAUAUAAAUAUAAAAUAUAUGUAUUCGAGCUGUUAUCGAGCCGAACACGAGCGAGCUGACCCCAGCUCGUGUUCGACUCGUUUAUUAAACAAGCUAAAAAAUUCAGCUCGUAUUCGGCUCGUUUACUAAACGAGCGAUUCGAUCUCGGGCUCAUUUCGAGCCGAACACGAGUUGGAUUGCCAUCCCUACCAUUAGGGGUGUAAUGUGGGUUGUGCCAGACCGACACGACCCACACUAGCCCGACUAAAACGGGCUAGGAGCUGGCCCGGUUCGAACUGGUUUCAAAUUCGGGCUGGACGGUGCUGAGCCCAAGCUAUCUAGCCUCCAGCCCGAUAUGACCCUUUGGUCUGGAAGGCACGAGCCGGGCCGUGCUCCAGGCCGACCUCUUAAAAUAGUAAUUUUUCUAUUUUUUAAAAAAAUUAAUAUAAAAUCUAAAAAUAUAAAUAAUUAUAUUUAAAUAUAUAUUUUGAUUAGAUAUUUAAAAUUUAUAAAAAUUAUUAUAAAACAAUAAAUAUUUUAAAAAUUUAAAAAAUAAAUUUGUAUUAUUUUUUUGAAAUGAAUUUUUGGUCCAAUGAACUAAAAACUGUUUGGUCUAUUGGACCAACAUCACUCUUCCCAAAGUAGCAAACCUUGGGCGGAGAGCUCCUGGGGAGGAGAGCCAACUAGGAGCUCAGACCCUUGGGGUCCGGGCCGUGCUAGCCUGGUUGGCAUGGCCCAAGCAGGCCGUGCCAUGUCGGGCCACUCAUUUCUCCUCGGCCUAGGCUCGCUUUAGACAAUGCUAUGCUGGAUUGUCAAGCCGCAAGAGGUAGGCCGGCAUGUGGCCGUGCCGUGCUGUGCUGUGCUUAGCCCGGCAUGUGGUCGUGCCGCUAAAGUUGCAAUUAUACCAUUUAUCAAAUAUAAAAAAGAUAGAAUAUCUAAGAGAUUAUUUGGUUUCACGCAGCAAUAACUUGUGUAACUGUAUUUUCAUAUCCAAUUAUCUAUGGAGAUAAUUUUAUUGUUUAAAUUGAUGCAAUAGAAUCCAAAUAAACUACAAGAAAUGAUUCACUACUUUAUUUUAUAAAAAAUAAAAAAGAUCUUAACCGUUGAUUAAUAAAGGUUAAAAAUGUCAUUUAAUUAUGUAGCAGGUUAAAAAGUUAUUUCAUUAGAGGAUAUUUUUCUAAUGUAAAAAAAAUUAAGAAAGUUUUGAUUAAUAUCCUAAAUUUAGCAUUAAUUUUAUACUAAUUUAAGCAUUAAUUUAAGAUUUGAUUGAUAUCUCAAAUUUUAGGCAUUAAUUUUAGAAAUUUUAGAAUUCUUCUAAUUUAGGCAUUAAUUUAAAUUUUAUAAAAUUUAGAAAUAUAAAUAUUUCUAAAUAUGUUGAAUUUAAAUAUUUAAUAUUUAAAUUAAAGAAAUUUUGUGUUACUAUUUUAACAAAUUUAUUGUUAAUAAUAACGAAUUCAACAUAUUUAAUUUGUUUAAGAAAACUUUUAAAUUCCUCUAGUUUAGAUAUUAUUUUUUUUAUCACAAACUUUUUUAAACAAUUGAAUGUAGGUAAAUAAAAAAUUAAAUUCAAUGUAUUUAUAUGUUAUAAUGUAUUUUAAUGAAAUAUCUAUGGAUUACGAAUAUAAAAUGAUAAAAUAUCUGUGAAUUAUAUAUGUCAAUGGAUAUGGAUACUCAUAAUUUUAUCUGAAUUCGAAUAUAAACUCAAAAGCAAAAGCAGUGAAUUUAUCUAUGCUAAAUGGAUAUAGUUUUAAAUAUGGAUAUCAAAAACGAAACCCGACGAAUUUGAAUUCGGGUAUGGAUUUUAAUUGUAUUUGACCCGAAGCCGAAACCGACCGGAACCCAAAUUUAUUACGUUAUAUAUAAUAUAUAUAAAUGUUCGAUGUUAUAUUUGAGUAUAUAUUUUAAAAUUUAGAUUUAAUUUAAUAUAUUUUAAAAUAUUGUAAAGAGAAAUAAAUAUUUCAGGUUCGGAUUUUCGGGUUCGGGCUAGUGUUUGGGUUUUGAAUUUUUAGUGAGAUACGGGUGUGUAUAUAAUUUUCUAAAAAGUCAUCGAAUUUGGGUUUGGGUUCGAGUUUUGGGUUUGAUAGUCAAGUUCGGGUUCAUGUUUUUGAAAAUCCGCCUCGAAUCCUACCCUUUUACAUCUCUGCAGUGGAUGAAAAAAAAAAAGAUAGAGAGAGAAAAAGCAAACACAAAGAGAAUAGAGAUUCGAUAAUAUAAUGAAAAUAAAAUUAUUAAAUUGCCCAUUUUCAAAGGACUAAAAUGCCUUUUUUGGAGUACCUGGAAACCGGUGUCCCUCUCAAAGUGACCUGCUAUUGCAGGUUACAAUUUUUUAAAAAUUAAAUCUGAGCUGUUGAAUUGAAUUGAAAUGAAUGAGCUGUAUAAAAAAAAAUAAGUAUAGAAUCACUACUCAUAAACUACAGUUUGAAACUACCAAAGAAAAUUCAAUUAUUACAAUAGAAAAAAUCUUACCUAAAUUAACCACUAUUUUAGCUACAAUAGUUGUAAAGAAUAAUCUUAAAUAAAAGACAAACUAAUCUAUCUAAUCAUUUAACCUUUUCUUCAACAAUGAAUAUAAUCUCAUAGCUCCAUGCAUGUAUAACCGUAUACAAUUUGUUAAUACAAUUUUUAGUUAUGCGCAACCUUUUGAUUUUGGAGAAUAAAAAUAUAACAGCUCCAAUUAUUAUUUGUAUUAAAAUUGGUCGAAUAUAGUAAAAAAUGCUAUAAAUAUAUUAUAUAAAUGGUUGCGCAUAACUAAAAAUUGUAUUAACAAAUUGUAUACGGUUAUACAUGCAUGGAGCUAUGAGAUUAUAUUCNUAAAUUAACCACUAUUUUAGCUACAAUAGUUGUAAAGAAUAAUCUUAAAUAAAAGACAAACUAAUCUAUCUAAUCAUUUAACCUUUUCUUCAACAAUGAAUAUAAUCUCAUAGCUCCAUGCAUGUAUAACCGUAUACAAUUUGUUAAUACAAUUUUUAGUUAUGCGCAACCAUUUAUAUAAUAUAUUUAUAGCAUUUUUUACUAUAUUCGACCAAUUUUAAUACAAAUAAUAAUUGGAGCUGUUAUAUUUUUAUUCUCCAAAAUCAAAAGGUUGCUGAGAACAAUAAUCUUCGGCCUCGUUUGAUAUUUUUACUGCUCUCAAACUUUUUUCGGUUUCAAAUGCAAAUUAUAAUUUAUGUAUGAUUGGAUGAUGCUGGGAGGGACUUAAUUAUGUUUGUAGUUGCUAUUAGCUUGUAAGGCAUCUUGAAAACAUCUUCUCAAGAAUGGAUUUAAUUAUGUUUGCACUUGCUACUUAGCUUGUAACUCAUAUUGAAAACAUCUUUUCAAGAAAUACAAAGAAGUGGGAAAAUUUUACUUUUUUUUUUUUUUUUUAAUUACUUUGGUCGGAGAAAUCCUUGGACGGUUAAGUGCAAACAAUUAAUGUGAGUCCAUCAGAUUAUGUUUAAGAAAUAGAAGAUAAUAAUAAUAAUAACAAUCAAUGUGAGUCCAUCAGAUUUUUUUUUUUUUUUUUCAGGUCCAUUCCAGCGGAAGCCUAGUUGCUUUCACAAUUGCUAAGUUCAAACUCUUUAUAAAAAAAAAAAAAAAAAAAAAACAAUACAAAAUGUGGUCCUAAUUUAAUAUUCUCGUGUCCACGCCUAUCACUGUUCUGAGAUAUAAACGACAAUUUGAUAUGGACAGAGGAGAAAGAGUCAAAACAAAAAAUAUAUAGAAAAAAGAUCAUUAUGUUUCGAGCCAAUUAAAUAUUUUUUUUUAAAAGAAAAGUGCAAUACAAAAAAAAUGGUUGGGAAGUGUGGUAACCUAUUAUAUAGCAAACUAGCAAUUGUACUUUAUCACCUAUAUUUCAAGCCAAACAAAAUUGUCAUUUAAAAAGAAAAGUAUAACAAAAUUAGAUUAAAUUGACUUGGGUCAUGACGUUGAAGUGCUAUUGUCGCAUCCUAGACUUGUGUGUCCCUAAAAUACUGUUUGGUUCGGAUAUAAGUAAGAAUUAGCUAUUACAGAAAUAGAUAUAAGUAUGAGAAUAAAAAAAAUAGUGCUUGGAUGAAAAUUGGGUUGUUCCCGAAGAUAAGAAUAAUUUAAGAUAAUUUUAUAUAGAAAAUGGAGGUAUUGAUGGGGAUAAUCGAGAACUACUAUUCUCGGAUAAAAAAUAAGCAUUUCGGUAUAAAGGGGAGGAUAAGGAUCUAUUCCUAUUCCUAUUUCCUAACCAAACGUUGCCGCACCAAAAAGAUGAGUGGGAACAAAUUGUUCCCGCCCAUGUGGCCAUGUAUACCGGAUAUGGGUGGACCAUGUGUGGCUCCCACAACCCCGGAGAGAGAGAGAGAGAUUCAUAUUUUAAAUUUAAAUUGAAAUUUAACUUUUUAAAAUUUAAAAUUUAAAAUUUUAAAUUUAUAAUUUAAAAUAAAAUUUUAAAAUUUAAAUUUAAAAUUUCUAAUUUGAUAUUUUCAGUUUUUAAAUUUUAAAAUUGAUAUUUUAUAUCUUUCAAAUUUAAAUUUAAUAUUAAAUUUAAAAUAUGAUAUUUAAACUUAAAAUUUUGAAAAUUAAAAUUUUAAAUUUUAAAAUUUAAAAGUUAAAAUUUUCAAUUUAAAAUUUAAAAAUUUAAAUUCAAUUAUAAGAAUAAUAUUAUUAUUUUUUAUUUAUAACCAUCAACUAUUUCUCUUCUUUUCAAUAACCAUCCAAACAUAAUUUUUCUAGUUCCAAUCUAUACUCAUAUUUUCAUUCAAAUUAAAAAAAUACUCUUGUUCUUACAAAAAUUUAUAUUUGUACUUAUUCCCGAUAUAACUAGUUUCUAUUAAUUCCCGAACCAAACCAAACGAAGCCUUUUAAAAUGUCUGGAUGCAUGACUAUAUAUGUAGUGCACAUUUUUUCUUGCACACGCAGACACGGACUGAGAACCUUAUCAAAAUCACAGCGGAUUAUAGGAUUAGCAUUGCCUCCUGAGCAUUUACGUGUCUAGUUGGAAUUCAGUGAUAAUAACAGCAAAAUUGCUAUUUACGUUAGACUAGAUGACACCUCAUGCACAGCACUAGUACGAAAGUCCAAUUUUGAGAUAUUAAGAUUUCAUCUUGUACCGACCAUUCCUACAGCAAGUGAUAAAAGAUUUGAUGAUUGAUACUCGAGAUCCCAAGUUUGAAUUCUACUUGAUUUACAUUUUUAACUAAAUUUAUUUCUAAAUAAAAUAAAUAAAACGGAUAGCGUGCUAUUUAUCUCUCAAAAAAUAAAAAAAAAAGAUUUCAUCCUGUGCACGAAUUUCAACUCACCUCCUCAUUUUUCAAUUCCCCAGGAUAGCAAUAUUCUUCUAUAUAUUCAGCAAGUGAGAGUAACUUCAUAAGAAAAGGCAGAUACGUAGAUGGAAAUCCCAUGUCGAUUAAACAAAAACACACAAAAUUUCAGCCUUCUGAUAUGGUCACCAUUUUUUCUUAAUGUUAAUUCUAUAUAAUUUAAUAUACUGACAGAAUGACUAAUUAUUUUGUAAUAAUUUUUGGCCCGUAAUCAAUGAAAACUCAUUUUUACAAAAUUUGAAAAUAGGAAAAAAUGCUUCUAUUUUUUUAUUUUGGGUUACCAAACAAAUAUAUAAAUUGGAUGUAAAAAUUAUAAGCAAUUUAUUAUUUUCUCUCACACUAAUUUAUGUAGAAAAUUUAAUUUUUUUAAAAUACAACUACCAUGUAUAAAUCAAAUCAUAGAGCUUUUAUGAUAGACAUAAAGUAAUGGUGUGCAACAUCAAAAUUAAGAAACUCCCGGUCCACCGUGGUAUGUAAAUUUUAACGUUUAUCCAAAAAUUCUAAUCUUUCAUUCUAGAAUUUAAUUUUUUUAAAAAAUUUAAUAUAUAAAAAUUUUUAAUAAAGUCAUGAAUAAAAGUAAAAUCAAUAUGUGACGGCGGACUGAAAGCCAUUCAACAAUACGACUUUGUUCGAGAGCCACCCACUUAAACUUUGUUCGGCUCCCCCGACUGGAUUCUCCAUAAAUGAGAUUUUUGUGUACUUAGGUGUCAUGCAUGCAUGAGAUUUUUAUGUACUUAUUAGGUGUCCGCCACAACAUUUCUUCAAAUUGCAUCUGCCAAGAUACUUUGGCCUGCUAAUGAUCUAAUCUACGUCUUAUUCAACAUUAUUGAUGUGUGUCAUACUCGCCGGUUAAAGACAACUCUUAUAUCAUUUCCACCUUAAAUAACAUAAAAUAAGAGAAAUACUACAUGCACCUGAAAAUACAUUUAAAAACAUUAUUAAAUAAUGAAAUUUGCAUAUUUGGUAAUCAUGUACUUUUAUUUCAAAAAACUGAAUAUAAAUUAGGCACAUCAUCAAUUUUAAAACCUAAACCAUUCACCAACUCUGAUAUAUAUACAAAUCUUAUUUACAAAAAAACAUAAAUAUGUCCAUACAAGGAGGCGAUGGUCUUAUUUGGAACUGCAGAGUACUGCUGCGUUGUUUUAUAAUUGUGGUUUCAAUUGCGCCAGCAAUGGUAGCAUACAUUAAAAUCUACCUAAAAGCUUCUUUUUUAGGAGAAUUAGAAGUUUCAAAUCAAAAGUUUUCCUAAAAAUCUGAUUUCAACUGUGCUGCAGCAGUUUAUUGGUAACGUUUUGGCAGAGGCUAAAAUAUGACAUGGAUCAUAUUACAUACCAGCGAUGCUACAUUUAAGACCAUUUUUUAUUGUAAUCAUACAACAUGCCAAUCUAAAGACUAAAAUUGUCACACGUUAUUUCACACUCUUUUUUUAAUACUAUAUAUUUUAGAGAAAGAUAGAAUGCUAACAGGUUCGUAUAUUUUUUUUACAAAUAAAUUUAACUGAAAAUAUAAAUUAAUCAACUAGGAUUUAAACUUGAAGCCUCGGUGUCAAUCACUAAGUCUUUUGCCCUUUGCGCUUGGGACGGUCGACAUCCAGAAAAUAAUUAUUUAAUCUUUAGAAAAAUUUUAAUUCUCAGAUGAAAAUCGUAAUUCUUACGAGUUACGACUCUUUUUGGAUUGCAAACUUGGCAAUAUUUCUCAUUAUAUAUGCAUAGCAUGCAUGAACUCCUUAUAAUUCAUACCAAAAGCAUCACAAAGUUUCUAUGGCUCUUCUUCACAUGAUUGCCUCCCUGCCUUUUGUUGUUCUCCUACUACUCCCUCUUCUACUCCUCACAAGAAGAAAGGAGGGCAGCACAUCACUAAAACUUCCCCCGGCCCCUCCCAAGCUCCCAGUAAUUGGCAACCUCCACCAGCUUGGAAGACUGCCCCAUCACUCCCUCUCUCGGCUCUCGCAACGAUACGGCCCCCUCAUGUACCUGAAACUCGGCCAUGAGCCGACCAUCGUGGUCUCCUCUGCCAACAUGGCCCAGGAGAUCCUAAAGACGCAUGAUCUAGAAUGCUGCAGCCGACCGCCCCGCACCUCACAUACAAAGCUCUCCUAUGGUUGCUCGGACAUCGCCUUCGCGGUGUACGGCGGGCCAUGGAGGGAGCUGCGAAGAAUUUCCAUUAUCGAGCUUUUCAGCGCCAAGAAGAUCGCCUCGUUUCGAUCCAUUAGAGAAGAAGAGGUGGAGAGAACUAUGAGCUCGAUAUCCUCUUAUUCAAGCAGUUCUCUCCCUGUCGAUUUGAGCAAAGAACUGAUCGCGCUCACGAGCACAAUCACUUGUAGAAUGGCUUUUGGAAGGAGCUACCAUGAUGUUGGAAGCAGAUUUCAGAUGAUUCUGAAUGAAGCACAGGCCAUGCUCGGGGGCUUUUUCAUCUCGGACUACUUGCCUAUCAUCGGAUGGGCCGAUUGGCUCACAGGGAUGAGAGCGAGGCUCGAGAAGAACUUUAUCGAUCUUGAUCGCUUCUACCAACAAGUCCUCGAUGAGCAUCUCGAUAGAGUGCAGCAGCAGCACCAGCAGGACUCUGGCGAAGACGUUGUGGAUAUUCUACUGCACAUGCAGAAGGACGAGAAAAGUCUAACCACGGACCAGAUCAAAGGAGUCCUUAUGGUAAGAAAUAUCCAAUACCGAAUCGCAAAAAACAUUCUUCUAUAUUAUUCUACACAAGUUUACCCUUUUUUGCAGAAUGUUUUCAUUGGUGGGAGCGACACGUCCUCAGCCACCGCGGGAUGGGCGAUGACGGAGCUAAUGAGGCAUCCACAAGCGAUGGAAAAAGCUCAAGAAGAAGUAAGAAGCCUCGUCGGGAGCAAAGGAAAGGUAGAGGAGAGCGACAUCGACCAACUACACUACCUCAAGUGCGUUGUGAAGGAGACCAUGCGAUUGCACCCAGUGGUUCCCAUGCUUAUUCCAAGAACAACGUUGCAGCAUUUCAAAAUCAACGGCUAUGAUGUCCCGCCCAACACAACGAUACUCAUCAAUGCUUGGGCGAUUGGAAGGGACGGGAGUUACUGGGAAUCGCCGGAGGUGUUCAAGCCGGAGAGGUUCAUGAAUAGCACGGAUCUCGAGUUCGCAGGGAAGGACUUCAAUAUGAUACCAUUCGGUGAAGGUCGCAGGAUCUGUCCGGGGAAGAACCUCGGGAUAAAAACGGUCGAGAUCAUGCUCGCCAACCUUCUUUACUCCUUCGACUGGGAACUUCCGACGGGUACGACGAAGGAGGACAUCGACAUGGAUGAGACACCGGGCGUUACCGUGCACAAAAGACAUGCCCUUCGGCUUCUUGCCACUAAAU
rnacentral:lncRNA from 1 species